CUCCCGUGAGGCCGCGCAGGGCCGCCCCACAGCCGGGGCGGUGUCUGGCCGCAGCGCCAGGGUGCCCGGAGGUGGCGGGGACAGAGCGCCGCGGGGAAACCUGAGGGGUUUGAAGCGGCUUUGGGGGAGAAAUCGCCGCUUUUGGCUACAGCUACGGCGUUUGGGCGGUUUCCUUUCGGGGAGGGUGGUGUUUCUGGUGCCCUCACGCAGGGUCGCUUCUUACAGAAUCACAGAGUUGUUGGGGUUGGACUGGACUCUGGAGACGGCGACCCAGCCCUCCUGGCAAGGCAGAGUCACCUGGAGCAGGUGACACAGGAACGCGUCCAGGAGCCAGAGGAAUGCUUGGUUACAUGAGGACGGGUAUCCUCUCUCUGAUUUUGUGUCCAGCGUUUCCAGAGAACACAGGAAAAUGCUUCUGUCAGGCUCCAUGGAAUUGCAGAUGGAGGCUCCAGUCUACAAAGCAUCAGACCUCGUGGAUGGUUGAUCAGGAUUAUAUGCUCUGAUAUUAUGUUUCUACCAGCUGAGAAGCCCUACAUCAGGUCAGUGAUGAACAUCAGAGAGUUUGAAUUUGCCUUAUUCACCCCACCUGCACCCACUGGCAUCAGCUACUCCUUACCCUGAUUCUGGAUGGCUCCUUGGCACCCAGACCCAGCUGGAUAGUACCCUGUGUGCCUCCACCACUCCCAAUGGACUGCCCUGGCCAGGCACGCUCCCCCCAGUGUGGAACUCAGCUGAGGCAGCCUUUUCAUGUGGAUGCCAAAGCAAGACUGAAGAACAAAGGGCUGCAGCCAGGUGAAGUACCUCUGUGUCCUCCUCUCCACUGGCUGUAUGAUGGUCUCUCUGCUGGUGUGAAUUGCUACCUGCUCUCUUGAAUGGACAUGCUGCAGCUCUCAUGAAGACUAAAACCUGACUUACGAGCAACCUCCUGUGCCCAGAGGGAUAAUGUGCCUCGACAUGAGGCAAGUCAUGGUAUGGCAUUUGCCUAUCACCAGGACAAAUUUGUUGGCUGCUCUGUUGUCCCUGCCUCUUCUCAGAGUGGCAGCUGCUCUGUGUUCUGACAGAGGUUUGGAUGAGGCAAUCAUUGGCCCAGAUCUCUUGGCACUGCAGACCUGAAGUGCUGCCACUGCCUGGAGGCACAACACAUAUGAGCACACCUCACUGCUGUUCUACCGCCCCCUCUGCUGCCACCCGUCGGAAUUGGCUUCCAAAAUUGCCGUUCUGCACUGCAGCCUGUGGAGAGGGUGAUGCUAGAAAACCAGAUAAAACAAUAAAGGAACAAAAAAACCCCUCUUUGAACCCCAGGUUCAAAAGAAACUGUUCUGUUCACCACUGACCACUUAUUUCCUGUGAGUUUUGGAGAAGAUUGUAUACAGACUGCAUACAUAUAGUAUAUAUAUGUUCUCUGCCCCUGGUGGCCAUCUGCUUCUGGAGAGAACCAAAGGCUGGGGCUGUUCUUUGGGUUAAAUUUGGAGUAAAAGAAAAGAGGGGCAGGAUGCAGGGUGGUCAGGACCACAACAGCUUUAAAAAAAAAAAAAAAAAAAAUUACAAGAGAGAAGCAAAAGAUUGCAAAGGAGAAUGGCCUGAGGCUUUAUUGGAUUGAUAACUUGAUGGCAUCUCAAAUGGUGGUCAGCAAGUAGCUCAGUGAGGGGGUGGCUCAGUCAGACUCUGGGAAAACAGAACUGACUGAGGGAAACCAAGGUUUUCAUAAUUAAAAUUAGGUUUUCUACAGAAGGCAGAGUUGGAGGAAUUUUCUUGUGCAAGGACAUUUCAGGAGCACAGCCAGUUUCCCAACACUCUUUGUCUGAUGAGUCAAAGCAAAAUAAAUCAUAUUUGAUAAAACAGCACCAAAACAUAGCACAUUCAAAGCACUGUUUACGUUAACAGUGAGGCAAUAAAUAGCUUGCACCAGAAACAAUUGACCACAACCAAGAACAUUCCUGUCCUGUUUUAGUCACUACUUCCCCAAAUCCCAGCACUUCCUCCUGGUGUGUCAUGCCUACUCACAGGCUAGAGGCACAGCCCAGGCACAGUGCAUCUCUUCAAAUAUCUUCACCCAGAAUAACUGCAACAACAAGGAUUUCUCUUGCUGAUCCUGCAGUGACUGCAGGUCAGACAGCCCUGGACUGCAUUUGGUCUGUGCAAUCAGGUGAAAUCCAUCUCCUGGCAGACAGUCAGUGCAUGCUUUCCUCUCAAUAGGCUUUUCAGGGAAAUCCUGUCAUUUGGCUACCCCUGUAAGAACAUCUGUUCCUUUCAAAGGUUUGGGCUGGAAUACCACUGGCUGAAACAUUCAGUCUGAGCCCAGAAAUUCUUAAGAUCCUUCUAGACCUGGCUUGGUCUCACACUCCCACAUCUUUUUUCUCUAGCAUUUUGCUCAUUUGUUUAUAUUGAAGAUUCACUGUUGUUACAAGAAGCAUCUCAAAGUGCUUUACCACUUUGCAGAAGACAUCUACACAUUCCCAUCUGCCACGCCGUGUUGCUUGUACACACAUAUUUCAGCACCAGAGUACGAGCAAGCAGGUGGCCUGCAGCAGCAAGCCCACCCAGAUAAGGGGCUCCUUAGCAGAAAGUCAGCUGUAGCCCACAUUCCCCAGCAGGGGGUAACAUCAGGGGCUCCGUGUGUCAAGCAUUGGUGAACCGAGACAAAAUCUUAAUGUUCCAGUUCCUGAGUCAUUUCAUAACAUCUCUGGCCAUCUGUCCUUUGGCAAGGUCUUGUGGUAAGUGCAGGGAGGGAAAACAAUACUUUAUGCAACAAGGGUUGGCAUGAUCUUCCCAAAACUUCCCCAGCUCCUAGACUGCGCUACACUUACACCAAGAUAGCUUCAGCCACACAGGCCACCUGUCCUGUUCAAUCCACAUGGCAGAGGCAUAUUCUUCUGCUUUAGUAAUAUUAUGCUCAAACCACAUUAAAUAGCCACUAUUGUGUCUCUCAAAGAAUAUCAAAUUUGUGAACUGGGAAUUGUGGCCAGCUCCUUCCCAAAAAUUAAAGGGCAAAAACUCCAAAGACAAGAAGGUGAAGGCAGUAAUGCAAAUAGGAGCCGUUAACAUGAGUCUCCAGGCCCACAUAAAGGUGAAAUAAUUUAGAAAAAUUGUCUCCUUGGACCCUUUCCCUUUUCAAAUUAUUCCUUACUUAAGAGAGACUUUAAAUACAUUUGUGGAUGAUAAGGAAAUUCAGGCCAGUUAAUCAUGGAUAACAUAAAGGAUCCAUUCAGGACAUAGAAUUAACAAACACAUUUCCUUCUUCAAGACUGGGAUGUGAUCCCACCUAUCCCCUCCCAGUCCAAGAAGCAGCCCCAUAGUGUCUCAGCGCAGGGGAGCACAAGGCUUUGCUUUCAAGUUCCCCUGCAAAGGCUUUAAGACUCAGAGACAAAACUCCUGAAUUCUGCUGCAUAUUUUAGCCACCACCCCAAGUGACCAGAGCUACUUUUGUACAUGUCAGUACCUCUUCUCCAGCAGCUGAGAUGACUGAGAUGCAAAGAGCAAACCUUCAGCCCUGAUUUUCCAGCAGACAUUUGGGGGGCUGUGCAGUGCAGUGGAAUCAAGCAUGCAUUUGGAAAACCACCUGCUGAGGCUGCUCCUUCACUGGGCAAGAGGCAGUGAGCACAAAGGAUGUGGGCAAUGCACACACACACAAAGCACUUGGCCCUCAGGCUCUGCAGCAACCUGUCAGUCUUGGAAAAUAUAGCCAAAGCCGUGUGCAGUCAUGGCUGUGUGAAAUGCAGCAAGCAGACUUUGUGGACUGCUCCUGAGCUUCGUGUUUGUUCUUGUGUAACUCUGCCCUAACUGGGGUCAGGACCCUGCACCACCAAACUCCCUGUUCAGCUCUGCAAGCCAGAGAUCACUGGAAGUGUAGACCCCAGCUCUAAAUGUGCAUUCCUGUCUCAACCAAAAUUGAAACUUGCAUUAUUUCAGAGUAAUGUCUGUUUUUUGUUCCUUUUUGUCACAAACUACCUCUUCUUUUCCUGAAAAAAAAAAUGCAAUUCUCCCUGACUUUGGAAUUUUCCACAGCACCAAAAAGACCAACUUCUGCUGAGCCCUACACAAGAUGCUGCCACCCAUGGUGUAUAAAACUGUCAGUAGAACUCUGUGGUUGAUAUGAGCAAAGUGAGGUUUGCAGAAGGAGGUUUUUAAGGACCAGACAUGACACAGAAGGAAAAGCUAAGAUGCUUGGAGAGCUUGUCUGCUGGUAGAGGAGCCUCAGUGAGUUCUUCCCUUUCAGGUUUUCUUCUAUGAUUGAGAUAUCAAGUAUCUCAGCUUCAUCCACACCAUUGUGGCUUUUACCACCAAUAUCUCUUGUUCCAGCAGAAGAUACAACCUGUUGCUGCAGGUAAAGUCUGCCUGACUUAGAUAUUAGGAAGAAAUUCUUCACUAUGGGGAUGCUGAGGCACUGAAACAGGUUGUCCAGAGAAGCUAUGGAUGCCCCACCCAUGGCAGUGAUCAAGGCCAGGCUAGAUGAGGCUGCAAGCAACUUGGUCUAGUGGGAGGUGUCCCUGUCCAUGGCAGGGGAAUUGGAGCUAGAUGGUGUUUUCACCUCAAACCAAACCAUUCUCUAAUUAUAUGACUUCAGGUAUAAACACAGUUCCUAAAGCACAUGCACGUUGUGGGAGGCACCCUAAAAUGCAGAAUGAUUAUUGGGAUGUUAGCUUUGGUAGCCAUCCUGCUCAGCAGCAGCCCACCCUGCUCAUGCCUUUCAGCAGCAGCACUGCACUUCUCAAUCCAGGUUAAGGGUGUGCAUCUGUUUAAGUUCUACUGCAUAUUUAUAGGUAUUAUUGAGUUUUUUAGAUAAGCAAAGCUGCAGAGAUUUGUCUGUUUUUUUGCAUGAGGACUGGCAGAUUUGGCACAAGCCCCAGGCGCAUUGCUCCCGCAGUGGCUGCAGAGGGAGGCAGGGUGUGGGCUGCGUGCAUUGGUCACGGUUAGGUAUAACUGGCAUGCUAGAACAGGGUAACCCCUGCCUUCCCUCAGCAGCCAGAGGCAUCCCUGGGGAGGGGCCUGACAGACAUAGCUCUCCUCCAGAGGAUGGAUCAGACGAACAUCUGCUCUUCAGCAGAUAGAUACACCCAACACCUACAUCAGCUGCUGAUAAGCAGGGCUGCUGGGAAGCCAGACUUGAUGAGGUCUUGCAUGUGGCUGCCGGUGACUCCAGAUCCCUUGUGCUGUUUGCAGGGCACUGGAGUGUUGGUGGUUUGCUGUCCAUCAAUAAUGCUGUUAGGAAAAGCUCUUUUGUCUCCCUCUCCACUGCCCUACUCCCCCCAGUCACUCUCAGUGAGCAUCUGCAGGACUUCAUCUCCCAUCCGGUCUGGAAAUCCAUCACAGCAGCCUGGAGCCAGUCAUCUUAUUGCUACUUCACCUUCUCCCUCCCUGCUGCCUUCAAACCACCUGGCUGGGAUGUUCCUGGCACCUGUGGUUUUCCCCAGCUGGACAAAUCUCUUCUGGAAAGCACAUGAGUGGCUCUAAGCACUCCAUGCAUAUGUAUGGGUAAUUUAUAGUUCCGUUUGUGAAGCCAGACUAAAACCCCGGCAGCAAUAGUGUAUUUUCAGAUACACUGGGAAUGAAAAUAUUUGAGGUUUGUUGUUAGUGAAAAAGUAAGAAAAACACCCAUCUGUUUGGGACCAAAUAUUUCAUGGGGGAAAGCAGAAGAGCAUUCCAAUUACCCAAUGUUUUAUUCUUUCCAAAAGUGCAAGCAACAUUUUCAAGAAAAACCACAAGAGCAGAACACAAAGAAGGGCAAGCCUUGCAUUUAGAAGAUGAAGUGUUGGAUGUCAACUUUUCACAACAUCUUCCUUUUAUUUUUCCCCUAUUUAUUAUUUGUAUUUUCCAGCUGAAGCUGAUUUCUAAAUGCUCCCUACUUCCCAAAGGCUGGUGGGAAUGACUCAGGCAUGCACAGGGCUGACAGGGCAUGGCUGUGACUGGGCAGUGGCAGAUGCUGCUGACUCAGGCUUGGCACUGCCCCAUCAUCUCCGCCUGCCCAGGCUGCACUGGCACCCUUCCAGGGCAGGGACCCCUUCUUAGAGCAGGUGAAGACCACCCUGGCCCCAUGGGAGGUGCAAGGUGCCCUUUCUCCAGCAUCCAGGCCAUGCAUCCUUGAGCCUCGCUGUCCCGGUCCCCAGCUUGCCCCCUGGCAAGAAGAAUGACAAAUUGUUCCUAGAAGCUUCGCAGUGUUUCCAAAGAGAAGGGGUCUUGUAUGAGAUGAACCAUGUGCCCAAGUCUGAUGGGUAAAAAUGUUGUGCUUUUGCUUGAAUUUUAAAUAAGAAUACAGCAUGUGUUUUUAUAAUGGCUCCCCUACCAACAGCCACUUUCACACUUUGUCUGAUAAAAAUCCCAUCAUGUGAUAACAUAGGAAAUAGGUUUCAACGUUCCCUUUCUCAAAGAUACUCUGAUACUUUGUCAUGUCUUGGCUUCAGCCUGGGUG